AUUGAACGCUGGCGGCAUGCCGUACACAUGCAAGUCGAACGGCAGCAUAGGAGCUUGCUCCUGAUGGCGAGUGGCGAACGGGUGAGUAAUAUAUCGGAACGCGCCCUAGAGUGGGGGAUAACUAGUCGAAAGACUAGCUAAUACCGCAUACGAUCUACGGAUGAAAGUGGGGGAUCGCAAGACCUCAUGCUCCUGGAGCGGCCGAUAUCUGAUUAGCUAGGUGGUGGGGUAAAAGGCGACCAAGGGGACGAUCAGUAGAUGGUCUGAGAGGACGACCAGCCGCACUGGGAAUGAGACACGGCCCAGACUCCUACGGGAGGCAGCAGUGGGGAAUUUUGGCCAAUGGGGUCAACCCUGAUCCAGCAAUGCCGCGUGAGUGAAGGAGGCCUUCGGGUUGUAAAGCUCUUUUGUCAGGGAAGAAACGGUAGUAGCUAAUAUCUAUUACUAAUGACGGUACCUGAAGAAUAAGCACCGGCUAACUACGUGCCAGCAGCCGCGGUAA
rnacentral:rRNA from 1 species